rnacentral:rRNA from 1 species
CAAGGAAUUUUCCCCACUGGGCGCAAGCCUGAGGGAGCAACGCCGCGUGGAGGACGACGGCCUUCGGGUUGUAAACUCCUUUGGGGGGGGACGAUACGGACGGUACCCCCAGAACAAGCCCCGGCUAACUCCGUGCCAGCAGCCGCGGUAAUACGGAGGGGGCUAGCGUUGUCCGGACUUACUGGGCGUAAAGGGUGCGUAGGCGGUCUUGUGCGUCGGUGCUGAAAGCGCCCGGCUUAACCGGGCGAGGCGUGCCGAUACGAUAAGACUGGAGGGGCAGCGAGGGUGGCGGAACUCCUGGUGUAGUGGUGAAAUGCGUAGAGAUCAGGAAGAACACCCGUGGCGCAAGCGGCCACCUGGCUGCCAACUGACGCUGAGGCACGAGAGCGUGGGGAGCGAACCG